AGUUUUAGUUGAGUUCAACUGGUAAAACUUUUGGUUGAUGAAACCAGAUGUUUAGGGUUCAAAUCCCGCAAGCAUUA
rnacentral:tRNA from 1 species